AUUGAACGCUGGCGGCAUGCCUUACACAUGCAAGUCGAACGGCAGCACGGGGGCAACCCUGAUGGCGAGUGGCGAACGGGUGAGUAACAUAUCGGAACGUGCCCUGGAGUGGGGGAUAACGCAGCGAAAGUUGCGCUAAUACCGCCUACGAUCCAAGGAUGAAAGCGGGGGAUCGCAAGACCUUCCGCUCGUGGAGCGGCCGAUAUCUGAUUAGGUAGUUGGCGGGGUAAGAGCCCACCAAGGCGACGAUCAGUAGCUGGUCUGAGAGGACGACCAGCCACACUGGGACUGAGACACGGCCCAGACUCCUACGGGAGGCAGCAGUGGGGAAUUUUGGACAAUGGGGGCAACCCUGAUCCAGCAAUGCCGCGUGAGUGAAGAAGGCCUUCGGGUUGUAAAGCUCUUUUGUCGGGGAAGAAACGGUCCGUGCUAAUACCAUGGAUUAAUGACGGUACCCGAAGAAUAAGCACCGGCUAACUACGUGCCAGCAGCCGCCGUAA
rnacentral:rRNA from 1 species